GAGAGAGAGUGAGCGGGGAGAGAGAGAGAGUACGAUACCUCAGUCUGUUCGUCAUUUUGGAGAACGAGGGGUAGUGCUCUCCACUCCAAUCCAUCGACUGCCGAGCAUUUUCCAAGUCCAGGCGGUCUGAGCGGGUGUCGGUUUUGCUCGGUGGGGUCGACGAGGUCUUCCGACUAUUUAUUCCAAUAACAUAAUGGGGGCACAUUAAAGCAGUGGUGCGUGUGCUAAAGCACAAUAUAUAGCGUGGCUAUAUUUAGUUGUCGCCUACUUUCCCUAAGAAGUAAGUAUAUAUUUAUCAAUGUCUAGGUUUUGCCUAUUAAAAAAAACUUGUUUCUGGAUUAAACGAUUUGUGAAAUUAGCCCGUCCAGUCCACCACGCGCAUCUGAGCAGCCAGCACGAGGACCUUGGAUUUCUUUGGACUUUUACAAUUUUUGUAUCGCUCCUCCAUGUCCAUACGUCUUUUACACCUCACCUCGCACCUCAUUUCCCCUUCCUCUUGAUCCCCCUCUUUCUCACCUUUCUAUGGAACAUGUACCUGUCCUAAAGCCCUCCUCCAGCAUAACCUAAACCAGGUACCCCACCUGCUUCUCCCCCACCAG
ensembl:lncRNA